GCGUCAAUCAUAUCAACAUCUUCCUAGUUAGUGGGAACGUCACCUGGGACAUCUGCCAUGACCACAUCAGCCAUGAUCACGUGGACGUCCCGGGGCUCUACCUUCUUAAUGGAGCUCAGAUAACACUCUCGCGAACCUCUCUGGUCGCCUCUCACCGUUGCCACCCCAUUUUCUGUUGGGAAUUUCAUGCAUAGGUGGUGGAUGGAGGUGACUGCUCCCAAUUCCUUUAGGGACGGUCUGCCCAAGACUCCGUGAUAGGCCGAUCGACUGUCGACUACGAGGAACUCCAUAAAGUUCAUUGUAGUUUGAGGAGAUUCUCC
rnacentral:lncRNA from 1 species